GAAGAAAGCUGGCGGCGUGCUUAACACAUGCAAGUCGAACGGAAAGGCCUCUUUCGGGGGGUACUCGAGUGGCGAACGGGUGAGUAACACGUGAGUAACCUGCCCUUGACUUUGGGAUAACUUCAGGAAACUGGGGCUAAUACCGGAUAGGAGCUCCUGCUGCAUGGUGGGGGUUGGAAAGUUUCGGCGGUUGGGGAUGGACUCGCGGCUUAUCAGCUUGUUGGUGGGGUAGUGGCUUACCAAGGCUUUGACGGGUAGCCGGCCUGAGAGGGUGACCGGCCACAUUGGGACUGAGAUACGGCCCAGACUCCUACGGGAGGCAGCAGUGGGGAAUAUUGCACAAUGGGUGGAAGCCUGAUGCAGCAACGCCGUGUGCGGGAUGACGGCCUUCGGGUUGUAAACCGCUUUCGCUCAUGACGAAGCUUUGUGUGACGGUAGUGGGUAAAGAAGCACCGGCUAACUACGUG
rnacentral:rRNA from 1 species